rnacentral:rRNA from 1 species
UACCAGCACCCCGAGUGGUCGGGACGAUUAUUGGGCCUAAAGCAUCCGUAGCCGGUUCUACAAGUCUUCCGUUAAAUCCACCUGCUUAACAGAUGGGCUGCGGAGGAUACUAUGGAGCUAGGAGGCGGGAGAGGCAAGCGGUACUCAGUGGGUAGGGGUAAAAUCCUCUGAUCCAUUGAAGACCACCAGUGGCGAAGGCGGCUUGCCAGAACGCGCUCGACGGUGAGGGAUGAAAGCUGGGGGGAGCAAACCGGG